rnacentral:rRNA from 1 species
AGCUCUCAAGGUGUAUAUCGCCAUUGCUGCGGUUAAAAAGCUCGUAGUUGGAUCUGCGCCUUCGGACUCGGUCCGCCCAACGGGUGUGAACUGGGAUCCAAGGCUUAUACUGCUGGUUUUCCCUUGAUGCUCUUUACUGGGUGUCUUGGGUGGCUAGCGAGUUUACUUUGAAAAAAUUAGAGUGCUUAACACAGGCUAACGCCUGAAUACUCGUGCAUGGAAUAAUAGAAUAAGACCACGGUUCUAUUUUAUUGGUUUUCGGAACUGUGAUAAUGGUUAAGAGGGACAGACGGGGGCAUUCGUAUCGCUGCGUGAGAGGUGAAAUUCUUGGACCGCAGCGAGACGCCCUACUGCGAAAGCAUUUGCCAAGAAUGUCUUCG